ACCCUGACAUUUCUAGACUGUGCCAUGACAAGAAAUUCAAAACCUGCCAACAUAUCUCCAGUACCCCCACAUUUCCUACACCCCACAACAGAAUCAUCACC